UAAAUACAGACAGUACAUGAAAGAAGUAGGAGUCGUGAGCCACUGUCCGCGAUGCUGAUGAUAAAGCCCUCCGUAUUUUCAUCUCCUCUCCUAAACGUCACCAAAUCUCCUCCCUUUCAACUCCCCACUUCCAACGCCGCAACUGGUAUCACACUAUCGACAUGGAACCCGCAGCAGGCCCUUCAAUUUCGGGUGUCAUCGUCGGCCAAUCCGACGGUCGAGGUUGCACCAUCAUCCCCGGCUAAUGUCGACGGUGAAGAACCCGAAUCUGGAGCGGACAUUGUGCGGAAGUUCUACGACGGAAUCAACCGCCAGGAUUUGGCCUCAGUGGAGGAGCUCAUCGCCGAUAAAUGUGUGUACGAGGACCUUGUGUUUCCUCGGCCUUUUGUUGGUCGUAAGGAUAUACUUCAGUUCUUUAGAAAGUUUAAUGAUUCUGUCGGCAAAGACCUUCAGUUUAUUAUUGACGAUUUAUCCACCAAGGAUUCUACAGCAGUUGGGGCCACAUGGCAUUUAGAAUGGAAUGGGAAGCCUUUCCCCUUUAGCAAAGGAUGUAGCUUUUAUCGGUUGGAGGUCAUAAACGGCAAGAGACAGAUUAUGUGGAGCAACUAACAAAUAGACCUAAGCCCAGCACUUUGCUUUGAUCAAUGAUUACAGUUACCAGACAACCAGCUAUGGUCGAGAUAGUGUUGAACCUGCAAUCAAGCCUGGGGACUCUGUGUUGGUAGCUAUCAGAGGUGUGGCUUGGCUUCUUCGACAAUUCCCUCAGCUGGUUGACCGGUUUUAAAGUAGUUAUGUACACAGUUACAGUCACCGUAAAUAUUCAUCAUUUACAUAGAACUUGUAUAAACAAGUAAAAUUUGUAUAUGCAUUACAGUGAUUACAUAUGUAUAUUGAUCACAUUUUACAUAAAAAUGUAUCUACAUUAAAAAGGAAAAAUUAUUUGGGUGGAACAUGUGAA